GUUCUUAAUUCUCCAUAAUAAUUAUACAAAAGGAUAAAAUAAAUGUUUUAAUGUUUUGGUUUAAUUGUAGCAGCCUUUUUAGGACCUUUCUAGGACCAACAACAUUUCAGGACUAUCAUCACAGUGAACUACCUAACUUUAGUCUUGAAAGUAUUACUAGAACCACCGUAAUCUUAGUGCACUUCAGCUUGCUGAUGUUGAAGUGCCUUAGGCAUUAACUGUGUGUUCCCUUUUCACUCUUUAUAAAACUGAAAAUUUUGAGAUAAAU